rnacentral:misc_RNA from 1 species
GAAAUGCGAUAAGUAAUGAGAAUUGCAGAAUUCAGUGGAUCAUCGAAUCUUUGAACGCACAUUGCGCCCCUUGGUAUUCCGAGGGGCAUGCCUGUUCGAGCGUCAUUUCAACCCUCAAGCUCUGCUUGGUCUUGGGCCUGGCCGUGAUGGCCGGUCUUAAAAUCAGUGGCGGUGCCGUCGCAGGCUCCAAGCGUAGUACAUCUCUCGCUCUGGAAACCUGGCGGUGCCUGCCAGACAACCCCUAAUUGUCUCUUUCGGUUGACCUCGGAUCAGGUAGGGAUACCCGCUGAACUUAA